rnacentral:rRNA from 1 species
AUUGAACGCUGGCGGCAUGCCUUACACAUGCAAGUCGAACGGUAACAGGUCUUCGGAUGCUGACGAGUGGCGAACGGGUGAGUAAUACAUCGGAACGUGCCUAGUAGUGGGGGAUAACUACUCGAAAGAGUGGCUAAUACCGCAUGAGAUCUACGGGUGAAAGCAGGGGAUCGCAAGACCUUGUGCUACUAGGGCGGCCGAUGGCAGAUUAGGUAGUUGGUGGGAUAAAAGCUUACCAAGCCGACGAUCUGUAGCUGGUCUGAGAGGACGAUCAGCCACACUGGGACUGAGACACGGCCCAGACUCCUACGGGAGGCAGCAGUGGGGAAUUUUGGACAAUGGGCGCAAGCCUGAUCCAGCAAUGCCGCGUGCAGGAUGAAGGCCUUCGGGUUGUAAACUGCUUUUGUACGGAACGAAAAGCCCUGGGUUAAUACCCUGGGGUCAUGACGGUACCGUAAGAAUAAGCACCGGCUAACUACGUGCCAGCCGCCGCGGUAAGAC